AGAGAGCUUGGUGAGACAGAUCCAAGUGUGUUUAUUGUUUUGUGGGCAUCAGAAUCGAGGAUGUGAAAGGAAAAGAGAGGAAGAAGAAAUAGAAAGAGUGAUUUUCAUCAAGAACGAGGGAAGAAGAGAACAACCAUGAUGAUCCUACCUUUGAUCUUUCUAAAUAUGCCCUUCUCCUUCAGGAUCAGGAAGAAUGAACCAUCCAAUCUCAUUGCUUAUCAAAUCUUUUUCAGUCUCAUCUCUGUUCUCUCUCAUUAAUUAAUAAUUAAUUAAUUAAACAAUAAUCAAGGCCACCUCCUCCUUCACCCUCUUCUCUCUCUUAUUUAUUCUCAUGCUCCAUCACAUCUUAAAUAGGCCACACCACAGACUUUCUCUUCAUUCGCUUUGCUUGUGCUGUGCUUCAUCUCAUGUUGCAUCUCUCUCUCUCUUUCUGUCUCUCUUCACUUCUUCACACGGGUUUAACAAAGGGGUGCUUGCAGAGUUUCUUGGCAUUCUGUCCACCUCCACUUGAUGUAUGUUUCUUUCUCUUACACCUUUCACUCCUACGAGGAGGUGGACAUACUGCCAACAGAGCUGUGUUGGCUGCUCUUUGUAAAGCCUUUCGUGAUAUAUCUUUUUCAAUUCUCAAAUCCCUCCAGUGUUCUUUUUACUGUUAAUUAGCAUAACAUGUUUUAAUCUUGCAGGACACUCGGGGUCAGAAAUGAAGGAUAUAGAACCUUGUUCUACUUUCUCCAAGUGUUGGAAAGUCGAAACCCAACAAAUCUAGCUGCUUUUCUGUGGGUCUCAGUAUACCCUACGAGUUUCCCAUGGCAUUGAUGCCUUAGCCUAUGUUUUUGUCUUUGUUUUUUUCAUUGUGUUUUUGCAGUUGUUUGAAAUUACUGGAUCUAGGGUUAGAGGUUACACAGUUUGUAAAUCUGCAAUCCUCUAGGAUUAGUGGGAAUUUCUAUUUUUGAUGGCAGAAGCUUCAUUGCUAGGAUCUGUAGUUUCCAUAACUGUAGUUUCCAUAACUAUCAAUACUUUUGUAGGAGUGCAUGCAGAAAUGUUUUGUUCAUAUUUUACUUUUAGUUCACUUUUGAAUCCAUGAUUUAA